AUUGAACGCUGGCGGCAUGCCUUACACAUGCAAGUCGAACGGCAGCACGGGAGCAAUCCUGGUGGCGAGUGGCGAACGGGUGAGUAAUAUAUCGGAACGUGCCCAGUCGUGGGGGAUAACGCAGCGAAAGCUGUGCUAAUACCGCAUACGAUCUAAGGAUGAAAGCGGGGGAUCGCAAGACCUCGCGCGAUUGGAGCGGCCGAUAUCAGAUUAGCUAGUUGGUGGGGUAAAGGCCCACCAAGGCGACGAUCUGUAGCUGGUCUGAGAGGACGACCAGCCAACCUGGAACUGAGACACGGUCCAGACUCCUACGGGAGGCAGCAGUGGGGAAUUUUGGACAAUGGGCGCAAGCCUGAUCCAGCAAUGCCGCGUGCAGGAUGAAGGCCUUCGGGUUGUAAACUGCUUUUGUACGGAACGAAACGGCCCUUUCUAAUACAGGGGGCUAAUGACGGUACCGUAAGAAUAAGCACCGGCUAACUACGUGCCAGCAGCCGCGGUAA
rnacentral:rRNA from 1 species